GUUCUUCAAGGGUGCAGUGAACAAAGUUAUGCCAUAAGGAUCAUUCUCUGUUAAAUUUAAAGAAAUAAAAUUUUACAUAUUGAUCUUAAUAAUGUUCAUUUUGGGACUUAAAUAUAUGGACUACUUUUUUUUGGAAAUGAGACUGAAGCAAGAACAUUUUCUAAAGCUCAAGGCUGGGAGACUGAUAAUGUUGAGGAAAUAGCUUUGAAGAUUUCUCACUUGCCAAAAGCAUCA